rnacentral:rRNA from 1 species
AGCGAACGCUGGCGGCAGGCCUAACACAUGCAAGUCGAACGAAGUCUUCGGACUUAGUGGCGGACGGGUGAGUAACACGUGGGAACGUGCCUUUAGGUUCGGAAUAACUCAGGGAAACUUGUGCUAAUACCGAAUGUGCCCUUCGGGGGAAAGAUUUAUCGCCUUAGAGCGGCCCGCGUCUGAUUAGCUAGUUGGUGAGGUAAAGGCUCACCAAGGCGACGAUCAGUAGCUGGUCUGAGAGGAUGAUCAGCCACAUUGGGACUGAGACACGGCCCAAACUCCUACGGGAGGCAGCAGUGGGGAAUCUUGCGCAAUGGGCGAAAGCCUGACGCAGCCAUGCCGCGUGAAUGAUGAAGGUCUUAGGAUUGUAAAAUUCUUUCACCGGGGACGAUAAUGACGGUACCCGGAGAAGAAGCCCCGGCUAACUUCGUGCCAGCCGCCGCCGUAAGA